rnacentral:rRNA from 1 species
UACGGGGGGGGCAAGCGUUGUUCGGAAUUACUGGGCGUAAAGGGCUCGUAGGCGGCCAACUAAGUCAGACGUGAAAUCCCCAGGCUCAACCUGGGAACUGCGUCUGAUACUGGAUGGCUUGAAUCCGGGAGAGGGAUGCAGAAUUCCAGGUGUAGCGGUGAAAUGCGUAGAUAUCUGGAGGAAUACCGGUGGCGAAGGCGACAUCCUGGACCGGCAUUGACGCUGAGGAGCGAAAGCCAGGGGAGCAAACGGG